rnacentral:rRNA from 1 species
GAUGAACGCUGGCGGCAUGCUUAACACAUGCGAGUCGGACGGGAAGUGGUGUUUCCCGUGGCGGACGGGUGAGUAACGCGUAAGAACCUGCCCUGGGGAGGGGAACAACAACUGGAAACGGUUGCUAAUACCCCGUAGGCUGAGGAGCAAAAGGAGGAAUCCGCCCGAGGAGGGGCUUGCGUCUGAUUAGCUAGUUGGUGAGGUAAUAGCUUACCAAGGCGAUGAUCAGUAGCUGGUCCGAGAGGAUGAUCAGCCACACUGGGACUGAGACACGGCCCAGGCUCCUUCGGGCGGCAGCCGUGGGGAAUUUUCCGCAAUGGGCGAAAGCCUGACGGAGCAUUGCCGCGGGGAGGUAGAAGGCCCACGGGUCGUGAACUUCUUUUCUUGGAGAAGACACAAUGACGGUACCUGAUGAAUAAGCAUCGGCUAACUCUGUG